UCACCUCCCAUCCAUUUCCUCUGCUUCCGGGGCAACCCCAUGGCUUCUCACGACCAAGUGAUGGGAGCAUGCAGAGGAAACGUUAUCACGCGAAAGAGUCUGUGGCUGCCACUUUAGUCCUUUGUCCUAGAAGGGGCCUGAUCCUGUCUUGUCUGGUGGCUGUACCUCAUGAGGUCACGAUUCUAUAGUGUCUCGUGCCAAACCUCAACAAGCUCAACUGAGGUGCAGGUGGAGGAAGGCGGCAUUCUUUACCCGUUCCACUUAGAGCUUAUUUGCCUGAGCCGAAGAAGGUAAUGAUUAAGAGUUGGCUCCAAAGCCAACCUGCCUUGGUUCAGAUCCUGGGUCCAUCAUGUAAAUUACAGUUUGGAGCGAAUCAUUUGCUCUCUCUGUGCUCUAGUUGAUUUUCCUCUGCAAAAAUGGAAGUAAUGGUGCUUACCUCGGUGAGAUGUUGUGAGGAUGAGUGGCGAUGCCUGGCCUGCAGAAAUUGUUCAUUAGCUAUUGUUACUACUGAAAAGAAGGUUAUAAACCUACAAGUCCAUUGUGCCGCAGAGCCACCCUGAAAGAAGGUUAUAAACUCACUCCUAUGUCCAUACUUUAUUACAGAUAUUCUAACUGCAUCUAUGUAGAUAUAGAUAGUUAAGAUGAAAUGAAGUUAACAUGAGGGGGAGAACGUUCUCCUGAGAUAUUAGUUCUUAAACUUUAUAUCAGAGCCCUCUAGGAUUACUAGGGUUAUAGCUUACCAAUAGGCACUAGGGGCUAUGAGACAUAGAGAGAGAAAGCAUCUAGUCAAGAUGUAGGAGUGGGAGAUGGUAGGAUAGACCUGGGAAGGCUUCCUGGUGGGGGUGAUCGCUGAGCUGAGUCCUCAGCUGGGAAUAAAGUUGGAUGUGUAACAGAGCAUGUGUGGGCAGUGGGGAUGCAGGCACUGGUGCUCUUCUAUGCUAGAGACCUGAGCAAAGCUCUGAAGGUGUGACAGAGGUAAGGAUAUGCACAAAACUGGGCAUACUCAUAUGGAGAUUAUGCGUAUGUGAAAAAGAUGGGGUGGGAGACAGAGCUGGGCACUGAGGCUGAAAAGCCUUUGGGGGCAGAUCCUUUAGGAAUGGUCUGUGCAUCUGUCUAAAGUGAUUGGGCACUGGGAAGUCCUUGUUUUUCUUCUUUUACUUUCUGUUAUAGUUGAUUUAUAGUGUUAUAUCAAUUUCAGCAUAGUGACCUAGUCAUGUUGUGUGUUUGUGUGUGUGUGUGUACUCUUUUCAUCACACUGUCUUCCAUCGUGUCCUACUACAUUUGAUCGGAUAAACAGUGAGGUCCCACCGUACAUCACUGUACAUCCAACCUCUUGGGCUGGGACUUGAGGGAACUCUUAAAGGGUUUUAAACAGCAGACAGGCAGGACCAGGGUCGUGUUUUGAGCAAUCACUUGCAGUGGCCCAUAUGGAGAAUGCCUUCAAGGAAAAGUGCAGAGGCAGGGAGACUAAGGAGGGGCUUGUGUGGGAUUGUGGGUGAGAAACAAUGGGCUCCUGAUCCAGGGCAAAGGAAGGGGUGGCUUUGAGGGACAUGCAGGUGGUCCAUCGGUCAGGUGAGGAGGUGGGGUGGGGUGGUGAGGUCGAGGAUGGCCUGAUGUCUCCCCCGAGUUUCUUACCCUCAUCGAAGGUAACUUCUAUACAAACAUACCACAGUUUGUUUUUUUCCUUAAAUCCAUUAUACUGUUGAUUGAAACUUGGGCAGUCCCCUGUUUGGGGUUAUUUUGACUAGUGUUUUGAAUAUUUUUGUGCAUGUCUUUCCUUCUUAUACACACAUAUGUGUGUGUAUAUAAGUAAAUGGGGAUAUAGUUAGGCAUAGGAUUGCUGAGAAAUGUGGAGUGCAUGUGUUCAACUUUAAGAGAUGCCAUCAAAAGUUCUCCAGAGGGAUUGUGCAAAUUUAGUCUCUCAUCAUCAGUGUAAGAAAGUUCCAGUUACUCUUGCCAAUACCACGUAUAUUUCACUUGACCCAUUCUGGUGUGUGGAGUGGUGGUGUGCUGUGGUCUUAAUUUGUAAUUCCUGGCUGAUUAAUGAUGUUGAAUGCCUUUUCACUUGAUUAACGACAUUUAGCUGCCUCUUUUGUGACGUGUCUUUUAAAAGAUUUUGCCCAUUAUUCUCUUGGGCAGUCUUUGUUACUUUGUUAAUUUGUAAGAGUUCUUUAUUCUGGAUACAAAUUUUAAAUUCUUCAUUUUAAUGUCAUCUGUGUAUAUAAUUAUGUCAUUAUAUAUAAUUAUCUGUGUAUGUAAUUUAUAUAUAACCAUAUAGUUUAUCAUUUGUGUUUCUCUAUGGCUGGUGCUUUUUCUUUCCUGUUUAAGAAAUCUAUGCCUAUUACAAGGUGACAAAUAGUUUUCUGUGUUUGCUUCUCAAAAUGUUGUUAUUCUGUCUUUACCACUUAAAUCUAUAAAAUAUCUGUGAUUGACUUUUGUGUACUGUGUUGAGGUAGGAUUAAAAUUAUUUUUCCCUGUGUGAAUAGCCACAAGAUCCAGCAGAAUUUAUUGAAAAGAACAUGCUUUCCCAUUGCAUUAGGGGAUCAAUUUUGUCAGAAGUUAGGUGACUACAUAUUCACAGGUCUGUUCUAGACUUUAUUCUCCUCCAUUGAUCUACUUUUUUGCUGUUAUGCUAAUUUCAUACUUGUUAACUAUAGUGCUUUAUAGUGAGUCCUAAUAUCUGGUAAGUCCUCUAGCUUUGGCUCCUUUCUUCAAAAUUUCCUUAUAAGUAUUAUAACCAGCUUGUCAGUUUAUAUAGGAAAAAAACCACCAGGGUUUUGACUGGAAUCGUAUUGAGUCUGUAAAUCAGUUUCAGGUCUCUGCAAUGUCGAAUUGCCCAACCCAUGUAUGAACAUGGCAUGUUCCUCCAUUUAUUUGGUCUCCAUUAAUUUCUCUAAGUAAUGUUUCCCACACACAGUUUAUUAGAGUUAUUGCUGCAUGUUUGGUUUUUAAAAAUCCUCUUAUGAAUUGUUUCUAGUUGCUGGUAUAGAGAAAUAUGUUGGAGUUUGGUGUCCUUAAUUAACAAGACCAGUUUGUCUUUAAGUUCUUUCAAAUUUUCUACCUAUACAAUCAGGUGUUCUGCAAAUAACAACAGUUUUGUAUCUUCCUUCCUAACCCUUUGGCCUUUUAUUUCUUCCUCUUGACUUAUUUCACUGGCUAGGACUACUAGACUUGGCAAUAGUGAACAUUUUUGCUUCACUUUCAGUGUUAGGGAGUAAGUUAUCAGUAUUUCACCAUGUAGUAUGACACCUGCUGUAGGUUGCUUCUUCUUUUAUUGGGGAUAAUAUUUAUCACAUUAGGAAAGUUCCCUUCUAUUUCUCCUGGACUGGGAGGAUUAUUUCUAAUCUUCACUGUUGAUUUUUUAACAGAUGCUUUUUCUGUUUAAGUUAAUCAUAUGUUUUCUCCCUUACUUCCAUUAAUCAGAUGAAUUACAUUGUUUACUUAUCCAGUGCUAAACCAGCCUUGAAUUAUUGUCAUAACCCAAUUUGAUUGUGACGUAUUAUCUUUUAAAAUAUAUCAUUAAUAUAUUGUUAAGGAGCUUUGCAAUAAUGCCUAUGAAAGAGAUUCACUUAUGAGUUUUCCUUCUUGUAAUUUUGUUCCUUUCUGGUUUUGAUUUUAUGCUGGUCUCAUAAAAUGAGUUGGGAAAUGUUCCUUCUUUUUCUAUGCUUAGAAAGGGUUUGUUACCAUUGGAAUUAUUCCUCUCAUAAACGUUGGAGGAAUUCACCAGUAAAGCUGUCUGGGCCUAGAGUUUUCUUUCUAGGAAAGUUUUAAUUUAUAGAUUCAAUUUUUUUUGGAAAGACAGUAGACUCUUCUGACUUUUAGUUCUUAUUUGUCAGUUUUGGUAAUUUCUGUUUUCUAAGGUAUUUGUUCAUUUUGUUUAAUUGUCAAAUUUAUUGGUAUAAAGUGUUUGUAAUUUUUAAAUCAGCUUUUAAAUGGCUAUAGGAUCUAUAGGAAUGUCCCCCUUUUCAUUCCUGAUGUUGGUAAUUUGUGUUUUCUUUCUUUUUCUUUCUUUUUUUUUUCUUCUUUUAUGAUUUACAACAUUGUAUUAGUUUCAGGUGUUAUUUUUCGUUAUCAGUCUUGCUAAGGACUUGCUAAGGAUUAUAUGCUAUUUCAGAGAAUGAAUUUUUGGCUCUGUUGAUUUUUCUCCAUUAUAAGUUUGUCUACCAUUUCAUUGUUUUUUGUGCUUAUCUUCAUGAUUUAUUUCCUUCCACACCUUUUGGGGUGUGUUUUGUAGCUCCUUUUCUAGCUUCUUGAGGUGAAAGUUCAGUUGAUUAAUUUUUAGCCUUUUUGUAUUCUAAUAUACACAUUUAAGGCUUUAAAUUUCCCCCUAAGCACUUAUAAUGUUUAUUUUAUCAACACUUACUUUAAUAUAUACUAAUUUCCAUUUUUAUUUUAAUUUGUCCCAUAAAUUAUUUAGAAGUGUAUGCUAAUUUCAAAGGAGUUGGGUACUUCCCCAUUAUAUUUAUUUUGAAAUGGAUUUCUAGCCAGUUUAGUAGUUUAGAGAGUAUACACUAAAUGACUUGCAUCCCUUGGACUUUCUUGAGCUUACAUUUAUGAUGCAGCAUAUGGUCAGUUCUGACAAAUGUUUCAUGAAGCUACACUGUUUCUUUUGGUUAGUAUUUAAAUGGUGUAUUUUUCCCCUAGCAUGUCUAUGACCUUACAUAAAAGUGUAUUUCUUUUUUCCCCAAAGUUUGUUGAGAUAUAAUUGAUGUAACAUUGGGUAAGUGUGAGUAAACAGUGUAUUGAUUUGAUGUAUUCAUAUAUUGCAGCAUGAGUAAGGGGUGUUUCUUGUGAAUAAUAUGUAGGGUUUUUAAAAAAACUCAUUUGAAAAUAUGACUUUUAUUAGAAUAUUUAGUCCUUUUGCAUUUAAAGUAAUUACCUAUAUAAGUUCAUACCAUCUCUCCACUUAUUUUCUAUUCAUCUGACUUUUUUUUUUUUUUUUUUUUUGUCUUUUUGCAUUUUCUAGGGCCGCAGCCACACAGCAUAUGGAGGUUCCCAGGCUAGGGGUUGAGUCAGAGCUGUAGCCACCAGCCUGCACCACAGACACAGCAAUGUGGGAUCUGAGCCCGUGUCUGUGACCUACACCACAGCUCACGGCAAUGCUGGAUCGUUAACCCACUGCACGAGGCCAGGUAUGGAACCCGCAACCUCAUGGUUCCUAGUCGGAUUCACGACGGGAACUCCCAUUUGACUAUCUUAUGUUCGACUUUUUUCCUCUUUCAAAAGAGCGUUAUUUUAGAUUAAUGAACAUUUUUUAGUUCAUUUUCUCCUGUUUCAGGUUGUUGGCUAUACAUUUUUUAUUCUUUUAUUGAUUUUCCUGGAUAUUAUAACGUGUAUCUUUGGCCUGUCACAGUCUACUGCAAGUGAUCAUUUUUAGCGCUUUUCCAAGUAUGCUAAAUAUUUAGAAUACUGACUUUAUUUAGAUCACGCUGCAUUUCUUAUUCUAUUGUUGCCAUAAUCUUUUGUUUUUCACUUAAGUCCCAUAAAACUCUAUUAAUGGCUUUCAUUCGUUAUUUAUACUUAUCCUUUCCAUGAGGGUCUCUUCAUUCCUUUUGCAUUUUUGUGUUUCUGUCACUUUCUUGCUGCCUGGAGAAUUCCCCUGAAACAAUCUCACUUUUGUUUGUCUGAAAAAGUGUUUAUUUCACAUUAAAAAUAUUUUUCAAAAACUUCUUUUGGAAAUAACUGAAAAACCCUCAGAAAAGCGGAAAGAAUAUUACAGAGAAAUCCUAUAUGUUCCAUACCUAGAUUUAUUAUUUUUAGCAUAAUUGUUAUUAUAAUUUCCAGAACUAUUUCAGAAUAAUUUACAAAUAUCAUGUUCCUUUACCCUUUAAUAGGUCAGAAAAUUGUUCUUAAGACUUAAGAGAAUAAGGUAAUUCUCUUCUAUAGCAGUUAUCAAAUUCAGGAAAUUUAAUACGGACACACUUGUCUAAACUAAUCUAACUCAUAUUCUAGUUUUAGGAAUCGUCAGAUGAAUGUCUUUUAUAAUAUCCCCCCCCCCGGAUUAUAUCUUACUUUGGUUGGUAUAUUUUUUUCAGUCUCCUUGCGUCUCUUGUAGAUUCUUAGCCUUUGCUUGUUUUUCAUAUAGACAUUUUUUGAAGAUUAGAAGGUAGUUACUUUACAGAAUACUCCUCAGUUUAGGUGUCUUUGAUGUUUCCUCAUGAUUAGAUUCAGACUUUGCAUUUUUUGCCUGAAAUAAUAUAUAGGUGAUACAUUGUUAGGAUUUCACUAUGGAAACACGUUGGGUCCACCUGUUCCUUGUUGGUAAUGUUCAUUGACUCAGUUAAGAUGUUGUCCAGUUUCUCUGCUGAUAGCUACUAUUUACUUCUGUAAUUUCUAAUUACUUUAUGGAUGGAUAGCUUGUAACUAUGUAACAUUCUGUUCCUUAUCUAUUCCUUCCCCCAUAGAUUUAGCAUCUGUAUUGGUCAGGAUCCUGGCAGGACACAGAACACACCAGUAAUGUAGAUGGAGAAGAUUAAUAUACAGAAUUGCUAACUAGUGAAAAGUGGAUAACUGCU
rnacentral:lncRNA from 1 species